rnacentral:rRNA from 1 species
AUACGUAGGGAGCGAGCGUUGUCCGGAAUUACUGGGCGUAAAGGGCGCGUAGGCGGCGCUUCAAGUCGUCUGUCAAAUGGGAGGGCUUAACCCUUUUUCGCAGACGAAACUGGAGAGCUUGAGAAGCAGAGAGGCAAACAGAAUUCCUGGUGUAGCGGUGAAAUGCGUAGAUAUCAGGAAGAAUACCAGUGGCGAAGGCGGUUUGCUGGCUGCAUACUGACGCUGAAGCGCGAAAGCCAGGGGAGCAAACGGGAUUAGAUACCCCGGUAGUCCUGGCAGUAAACGAUGUAUGCUGGGUGUGAGACUAGCGAUAGUUUCGUGCCGAAGUUAACGCGAUAAGCAUACCGCCUGGGGAGUACGGUCGCAAGAUUGAAACUCAAAUGAAUUGGCGGGG